AAAAUGAGAGUUUGUCAAGAUAGCCAAGGAGACUGCCUGGCACACACCAAAUUGAGGACUCGAAGUUCUUACUCCCUUUGUCCCAUAUUAAUAGUCGCAUUAAUAAUAAUAAUGCGACGAGUAAUUUGGAACAGAAGUAAUAUACUAAGACCCACCCUCAAUGUAAAUGAGGCAGGCAAGUCAUCCUUGGCUACUAAACAAUAAUACUCUCAACU
rfam:Beta vulgaris subsp. vulgaris Bvchr3.sca003.con0067.1, whole genome shotgun sequence.